GAGGGAAGAGCUCAUCAUUGGAAUCUGGCAGUGUUGCACUGUCCGAGUUGUAGAUGAGGAGUAGUCCGUCUGGACUGCAUGGCGUCCAAGUACAAUAGGCCGUCAGUGGGACAUCAUAGAGGGUGACAAUCCCGUCCUUGACGCCAAUGUGCAAGUCUAUUACGAUGGCUAUCUCAGAGAGUCGAGCAGUUUGGGAUUUGCUGCUUAAACAUGGGAGGUAGAUUCCUUCUAAAGCUAAAUACAGGCGAGAGACCGAUAGAGAACAAGUACCGCAAGGGAAAGAUGAAAUAGCACUCUGUGAAGGGAGUCAAAAGGCGUGAAAUUGUUGCGAGAGAAGCGAUUCAAGUCAGCGUAGCUAGGCCCAUCAAGCGUCUUCGCUUUGGACUAGCUUUGCCAGCGGUCUUGUCCCUUGAAGAGACUUGACUUGUAAUAUGUCCAGCCUGGCGUGCACAGGCAGCCCCUUCUGGGGGCCAGUGGCAUGGCUGGUGGAAUGGCUUGCAAUCGACCCGUCUUGAAACACGGACCAAGGAGUCUAACAUGUAUGCGAGUAUAAGGGUGGCAAACCCGUAUGCGCAAUGAAAGUGAUUUUCGGUGAUUGAGAAUGGCCUGAUGACCAGACAAGCAAUAUAUGUCCCUCGUACGGCCAUUGCCCAAGUUCCGUGGUAGAUCCCACGAACAUGGAGUUGGAGCAUACAUGCUAGGACCCGAAAGAUGGUGAACUAUGCCUGGACAAAGCGAAGCCAAAGGAAACUCUGGUGGAGGCUUGUAGCGAUUCUGACGUGCAAAUCGAUCGUCUGAUCUGGGUAUAGGGGCGAAAGACUAAUCGAACCAUCUCAUAGCU
rnacentral:rRNA from 1 species